rnacentral:rRNA from 1 species
CUACGGGAUGCAGCAGUGGGGAAUAUUGCGCAAUGGGCGAAAGCCUGACGCAGCAAUGCCGCGUGAGUGAGGAAGGUUUUCGGAUUGUAAAGCUCUGUCAGAAUGGAAAAAUGGUUUAGGGUCCAAUAGGCCCUAGAUUUGAUGGUACAUUCAGAGGAAACACCGGCUAACUUCGUGCCAGCAGCCGCGGUAAUACGAAGGGUGUAAGCGUUGUUCGGAUUUAUUGGGCGUAAAGCGCGCGCAGGCGGAUUGAUAAGCCAGAUGUGAAAUCUCGGGGCUCAACCCCGAAACUGCGUCUGGAACUGUUAAUCUAGAGUCAUAGAGAGGGAAGGGGAAUUUCUCAUGUAGGGGUAAAAUCCGUAGAGAUGAGAAGGAACAUCAGAGGCGAAGGCGCCUUCCUGGAUAUGUACUGACGCUGAGGCGCGAAAGCGUGGGGAGCAAACAGGAUUAGAUACCCCAGUAGUC